UUGUUCAUCACACCAACUUCUAAAUGGCACUCAAACAAAACAUGGGUUACUGAAAACCAAUUCUAACCUGGAUCUUCAUGGGUUGUUUGUAAUCAGUGUAGCUACUUCUAUUGAAAGUGUGUACAUUUUCUAUAGUUUGGUUACUCUGCAGGUUUUCUCUGGUUGGUCUGUUGAUAGUGAUUGGGUGUCAUUCCUUUACAUAGUUAUGCCUGUCACCUAAAACACAUUUCUUAUUUGUUCACAAAUCAGGUGAUCACAAAUUACCAGCUAGCGUUUCUCAAACAAAAUGCAUGAACAUAUGUAUCUUACCAUAAGUACACAACUACAUUAAACCCACACUUACAGAUCGCAGGCCUUACCUCUCUAUAUGUUGGUCUUUCAGGGUCGAAAGUCGAGUUUGUGUAUUG